rnacentral:rRNA from 1 species
GGCUCUUUUACCAGGGAUGAUAAUGACAGUACCGGGAGAAUAAGCCCCGGCUAACUCCGUGCCAGCAGCCGCGGUAAUACGGAGGGGGCUAGCGUUGUUCGGAAUUACUGGGCGUAAAGCGUACGUAGGCGGCUUUGUAAGUUAGAGGUGAAAGCCCGGAGCUCAACUCCGGAAUUGCCUUUAAGACUGCAUCGCUUGAAUCAUGGAGAGGUGAGUGGAAUUCCGAGUGUAGAGGUGAAAUUCGUAGAUAUUCGGAAGAACACCAGUGGCGAAGGCGACUCACUGGACAUGUAUUGACGCUGAGGUACGAAAGCGUGGGGAGCAAACAGGAUUAGAUACCCUGGUAGUCCACGCCGUAAACGAUGAUAACUAGCUGUCCG